rnacentral:rRNA from 1 species
AUACGGAGGGUGCAAGCGUUAUUCGGAAUCACUGGGCGUAAAGGACGCGUAGGCGGGUUGGCAAGUCAGAUGUGAAAUCCUACAGCUUAACUGUAGAACUGCAUUUGAAACUGCUAACCUAGAAUAUGGGAGGGGGAGAUGGAAUUAGUGGUGUAGGGGUAAAAUCCGUAGAUAUCACUAGGAAUACCGAAAGCGAAGGCGAUCUCCUGGAACAUAACUGACGCUAAGGCGUGAAAGCGUGGGGAGCAAACAGAAUUAGAAACCCUUGUAGUCC